UACGGAGGGUGCAAGCGUUACUCGGAAUCACUGGGCGUAAAGGGUGCGUAGGCUGACUUUUAAGUCAGGCGUGAAAUCCAAUGGCUUAACCAUUGAACUGCGCUUGAAACUGGGAGUCUAGAGUUCAGAAGGGGCAGAUGGAAUUAGUGGUGUAGGGGUAAAAUCCGUAGAUAUCACUAGGAAUAUCAAAAGCGAAGGCGAUCUGCUGGGAUGAUACUGACGCUGAGGCACGAAAGCGUGGGGAGCAAACAGGAUUAGAUACCCUGGUAGUCCACGCCCUAAACGAUGAAUGCUAGUCGUCGGGGAGCUCGUCUCUUCGGUGAUGCACUUAACAGAUUAAGCAUUCCGCCUGGGGAGUACGGUCGCAAGAUUAAA
rnacentral:rRNA from 1 species